UGGCGAUGAUGCCAGCCGUGACCACCGG
rnacentral:piRNA from 1 species